CACAUUUCAAAAGUGCUAUAUUCGCAAUAUUCAUUGUUCAUUUGUUGUUUAAUCAUGUUAAUAUGCUAUUGCGGACAAACGUUAUUGGCAACUUUUCGAAUCAAACAUUGGACAUGUUGGACAGUCUUAAAUAGUGAAUAUUUUCCAUGUAGAAACAUUUAAUUUGUGAAUUUGUGGUUCAGGUUACAAUGUCAGCCUUUAACUAACACCCGUUUAGUGUGGAAGUUUAAAAAUGUUUUCACUGACUCACAAUACAUGUAUGUAAAAAAACUACUGGUGCUAUACUAUUCAUGAAAUUUUGUUUGUGUUAUCACAGGAGUUUGAAAUCCUAUCAGUAAGGGGGUAAAAAUAUACCAAAGUCGACUAUCAGAGUAGAGCUUCUCUCGAAGAGUCGACUUUGGUAUAUUUUUACCCCCUUAUUGAUAGGAUUUCAAACUCCUGUGGUGUAUAUAUAUAUGUACAAUAGCGGACAGACUGAUAAUCUGAAAGUGUGCGGAUUAUCUACAUGCACAAACAUUUAAAUCGUCAAAAUCAUAAACUUUUUCACGGAUUCAAGAAACAUUUAAACUGUAAAAUGUGAAGUACUGAUUAUUUAGAUUAUUAAU
rnacentral:lncRNA from 1 species